ensembl:lncRNA
AGGUGGUGCUGAUAGUCCCUGAUGAAGCACCUGGAGUGUGAGGCUGGGCAUGGUCCCCAGAGGUUAUAAAUUAGCGGUGAGACAAGCUCACACAGGGCUUGGAUCUGAGGCUGUUGGAGUAAUGGAGCUGCUGCAUGUCUGAGGAAUGAAUCUUGGUUCAAACAGUGUCUGUAGCAGAACUGAGACCAGAGUUCUUGAUCUUCACUCUUCAGACUCUUGCUCCGUAUGCUCAACUGUUUUGUACACUACUUUGUUUGGGUGAUGCUCCUGAUGGAGGAAGAUGGAGAUGGCACUGGAUUCUGUGACAGAAGGAAAGAAUGCAGGAAAUAACUCCCCAGUUCACUUGAUUUUUUACCUGAUGAUUUACAAGAAGCCCUUGAAAGUCCUGGCUAAACGCAGUGUUACAAGUAACUUCUAGACAUGGUGACCUCCACAGCACUGACGGCUUCUGCCUGGGCUUGAAACACUAGUUUUGAUACAAAGACCCUUAUAGUUAAACGACACACCAUAAAAGAAGGUAUAGCAAGAUCUUCUUGGAAAAAUACGCCAUCGCAAUGGCAGAAGUCAAAACCCUUCACCACUGCUAUUCAUCUACAAAUGGAAAUCAUGCAGCCUCCCUGAAAUAAAGACCUAUUAAGAAAUCAUCAUUCAUCACUAGCCCUCAUCAACCCAGGCGGCUGAUAAUCGAGGUUCUCUCUAACCUCUGUGUCAAAGUAUAAUUACUUGGAAGGUUCUGAACUGAGAUAGUGUCUUUCUCUUCAAAUAUUCUAACAAAAUGGCAAUUUAAAAUGGGCUUGGACAUGGAAAUAGCUCCAGGCACCACAAUGCUGACCUCUCCGUUGGCACAGGGAGUGAAUGAAUGAGUGCACUCAUACUUCUGAAAAUAAAAUAUUAGCAUUCUCCAAGCAUCAAAAUAGCACGGCUACAGGAACAAGCAGGAAAGCCCCCAAGAAGCUCAGGGGCCUUUUGCUGAGGGCCCUCACCAAGCUAUGCUGAGGACGCCCUGGCCUCACUAGACCCCAGAGCAGUGGCACUCCUCAUAAGGAUGCUGCAUAGGCAAACUCACACUACUGCCUGUAGCUGGUUCCUCUUAGGACGUAACAGCAAAGAAAGCCUCUACUUGUACACCUUAUUUGAUAACGAAGAAUGUUGCCUAUGCUUUCCCCAAAUUAUUAUGACAGUAAUGUGAAGAUUUAAGCAUUCCUACUAUACCUCUGUAGCUGCUUCUCAGCAUGAAAUGCCAGAGCAGAGACUCAACACCACAGAAGACUGCACAAAUAAUAACAAAAAAAUAUAUAGAUUCAGCUGGGUUGCACUUCUGUAUAGACACUGCAGUUUACUCCCUCUCAGUGUCUGGAGAUGCGAUUAAGAUGACAAAGAGGAUCAAGAGGAAGGUCACUAGCUACUGUCAUCUCUCACUCAGAAAACACACAAACACAAAAUGUGUGAGAGUAGAAGUCAUUAGGCUUGUAGCAGAACUACAGCUGUGGGUGAGAGAAGGGAGAGCAGCCUUUAGAAAAGAGGUAGUAUGUGUAUAAUACUGCUUUCCCUCCAGGCACCUGAACUUCAUGAAGUACAAAGCUACCAACACUGACCGAGGAGUAGCUGAAAGGGGCCCUUGGUAAAAAGCACCUGUAUUUUUGAAGUCAAGACCUUGUAUCACAUUUUCAGACAACUAAAUCUCCAUGUAAUGCUCAUGAAACGCGUAUCUACACAGGGUAUCUUGCAGUUCAAGGCAUUAAUAAACCCACAGCAAGCUGCCAUCUGGGAAAAACUGUGUUUUGCGAACCUGUGCAGGAGGACACAAAGGAAAUGUGCAGUACAUAUUUUCAGAGUUCUAAUUUCUAACUCUGGUCAAGAGUGCUCUCAGUUAUGAACAGAUAAGAUUUUUACUCAAACUUUAAAAAAGACUAAAAAGUAAUUAUCUGUAUUCUGCUGUAGGUAAAUCCAUACUACCUACAUAAAUACCUACAGCUUCUUAUGCAACUAAUAUGCAAAGUAAUUUAGCAUCGCUGAAAUUUUCGAGACUUCCUGUGCACUCACAUUGAGUAAGGAACGUAAGAGUAUAUUUUAACACAUUCCUCACGUACGCAACAAUACAUCAAUGUGACAGUCUCACCCAUUCAUAUACACAUUUAUCCGUAUGCUUCUAAAGUAAGCAUUCUAAAGUAAGCACUGACAUUCUAGAGAAAAAAAUUCAAGAUUUGUAUCUUUAUAUUUUUGACACCCACCUGCUAUGUGUUACAGUGUUUUAUUAAGUUUACAUUAAAACAAAACUAUUUGCAAUCUGACACUAAAAAAAAUCAGUUUUUGUACUGAUGAGACUCACAGGACUGCAAUGAAACAUACAACAGAAGGGAAAUCAAUUGAUAAAUUAUUGUAUUCAGGACCUCACAUAAAGAGAAAUUCUCUAGGAGAAAAUAAUGUGGUUGACUUUUUCAAGCUCCACUUAACUUAACCCUUAUUUACAGUAGCAUCCUGAAAAAUGAAUGCUACUGUAUUUCAGAAACCAACUGGUUUUCCAACCACCUUAGAAAAGGUAAAAAAAUAUAUAUACAUUUCAAUUUACAAGCCGGUAUUCUUGAAAGCAUCAAUCUUGAUGAAUCCUUUGCUCUGCUAAGCAUGCUGUAUCUGAACAAUAAUAGUUCAUCAACAGAAGAGUGACUGAUAUAAAUAAGAGAGAAAAAAAUAUGCCUUGAAAGAACUUCUCUUCAUCUCGUAUCUGUAAGAAUUGCAUGAUAAAGGACUGGAUAGAAUUUAGCAAUAAAAGCAAGAGUUACAGAGAGUACUUGCUUCUCAAAAGCAGACACCAGCUACCACUUCAACCUGAAGGUGCCUAUGCCCUCCCUAACCUUGAAUCCCCUAAGCUCUGAGGCUUACACCUGUGUACAUCUGGUGCUGCCACUCUCCUCAAUCAGAACAGUGAAUCCUGCUCAGUUUCUCAUUACC